ACUCGCUCUUAAAGGCGCAGAGCAGCAGCACUCCUAGCCGUUGCCUGGCUACCGCGCGAGCGGACAACGCUUCCCUCCGCAGGGCGCCCCGCCCUUCGGGCCUGCCCACCUGGGGGCGGGGCUCCGCUGGCGCCGAAGCCCGGGGGCGGGUCCUGCGCGACCGUUACCCCCGCCCCUACUGCGGAGCUCAGCACAUGCGCCGCUUGAUCAGCCUUUGCCCGGGCGUCAACUGUUGUACCUCCGGGGGGCUGCCCUGGGGCGCUGGGUUUUUCUCCGCGUCCGUUGCUCCACUUGGGUCCCCGCUCUCUGGUCGCGAGGUGGCGGGCGCACGGUGGUCCGUGAUAGUUUGGUUUGGAAGGCGUGGGAGAAAGCGGGGCUGCACGGCGUGACUUAAGAAAGUUGACCUGCGAUGUAUUUAAAAAAAAAAAAAAAAAAAGUUUUUCCUUGUGAGGAAGCCCCCAAGUUUUGUGUUCCUUCUCAAAUGACAAGUAUGGUGCUCUGAAUUUCAAGUUUUUUUGAUUGAGGACUCUCAGGAAGGCUUAAAGGGGCUUCUGAGUUGCUUAAAAUCGUUAGUGCUGCUUGAAAACGCCGCUGCCACGAUUACAGGCGGAGCUGCGUUUGUUCCCUCUCUCUGCUUUGAGCACUCCCGUCUGACUGCCGGUGCCGGGGCGUUCCCUGAGGCGACCAGAGGUCUCCUCUCCCUGGGCCCCAGCUGUGUGCGUCCAGCACGCUCAGGCGGUUAUACUUCUUGUUUCAGGAAUCUAGGAAGGCUGCCUGAUCCUGAAUACUAAGUGUAAUAUUCAGGAACUUAAAAUUCAAGGAAUUUAAAAUCCCAGGAGCAGAGCAGUAUGUAUGAAGCUAUUUUUGGACAGAAGCCUACAGUUCAUCUUACCUAAAGGAAUACAGUAACUGUGAUUGACAAACAUCAUGUGAGACAGAAACACGAGGAAGUGAAUGAAACAUGUUCAGAUCUUAAAGGAGAGGAAGGCUACAUAUGUGCCUAGCUGGAAUUGGGUCAGCAUGCUUUAAGAUUCCUUAGAGGGGCACUAAUAAGGUUUCGCUUACACUUCCUGUAAGAACAGAACACUGUUGUUAACAGGAUCAAAAGGGACCACCGAUGUAUAGAGUCUACAUCAUCCUCCCAGCCUCCGAAAAGUUGAUUUGCAAAGAGACCUUACCAGAAAGCCCUAUCAAGCAGCACUUCCAGCACUGAUUUGUAGUGUUUGACACUGAAGACUUUUCACAUUACAGAAAUGAAAUGCCUGGCACUAGUUGUUUAGUAUUUUGAAGGUAAGCAAGUACAGCAACAUAUGAAGCACAUUCCCCUGUCUGCCUCCUCCCAGCCAGCCCUCCUGCCCCAAAGCCUUCAGUUACUUACCUG